rnacentral:lncRNA from 1 species
GAUGGGGAAAAGGAAGAAAUAAUUAGGGCUGCCUACACUGACAAAAACCUCUAGGCUUUCCUUUCUGUGGUUUUUGCACCACUGGAGAGGGGAAGAGUGAAGAUAGAGAUUAUAUCCUUCUCUGUUCUGGUGUGAAUGGGGGUAGUGGAAAAAUUGUUGGUGCAUCGGUUCCUAGAGCUGAAGAACAGCAAGGAGAACAGCAAGAACAGGGAAAAGGAACCAUAGAAAAGUAACGAUCAGGGUCAGCAGUUAACUGGAGUGCAAAGGUUGCAAAGUAGUGGUUGUUCUGGGAAGUUUAAGUGAGAAACAAAUGCAUCUAGCAUAAGGGAGCAGCAGAAUAUGAAGCAGGGAGGGGAAGGAAGGUUAAAAGGGGCACAUGUUCCCUCUAUCAGAUGUGGCUAAGUGUGUGCUGUACAGGAAACUGCUGUCUCCUGACCACUUCUGAAGCUGCCAGUCUUUCUUCCUCCAACCCCUUCCUCCCCCUUUUUGCUUUUUAUGGGCCAGCAACAAGCCAUGGCUCACUCUCCCUGCAUGCAUCCAGUGGAGCACUCUGUUAAAAAGAACUAUUUAGUUUUUGUUUUCUGUUUUACUCUGUGCAUACAUGCAGCACAGAGGGAUGAAUAGUAAGAAAAGCCAGUGGCAAUGUGAAUGGUGGAGAAAGGAUGGAGUGGGUUACCUAAGGGGAAAACAACGGGGGAGACGCUCUUGAAAUCUGAUCUUGGGCAGUCAUUUAUUCUGCACAACAGUUAAAAUAAAAUAGAUGGGACAUUAGUGGUAACUGAUGACAUACAUAGGCUGACUUUAUCAUGAUAACCAGGGAUCCUGGUUUUCUCCACUAAUUAGUGGUGUUUCAUUUUAAUCAUGGAAAAAUGUGCAUUUUGGAGUUACUUUUUUUAAACCAAAAAUUCAGGGUUUUUUUUUAUCAGAGAAAACCAGGAUCCCUGAUGAUAGGUGCAAAAUGAGUCUGAUGGUGAAUGCAGCACUGGAUAGCCUUACAAAAGAGACAAAAUGAAAUCUGCUCCCUUAAGGGCAAGCACUCAUCUCCUUCGCUGUGGUCCCGUCUACACAAGAUGCUACUGCACAGGUCUUCACUCAGAUCCCAACAAUUUUAUAACCUACUGCAUUAUGUACUCUACUGCAAGGACAUCUCUCACUUCAUUUCAUUUUACCUGUGUUUUGAUUUUUUGUGCUAACUGCUUGUAAAUAAAACUGAUUUUGUC